rnacentral:rRNA from 1 species
CCUUGUACACACCGCCCGUCACACCAUGGGAGUGGGUUGUACCAGAAGUAGGUAGGCUAACCGCAAGGGGCCGCUUACCACGGUAUGAUUCAUGACUGGGGUG